GAUGAACGCUGGCGGCGUGCCUAAUACAUGCAAGUCGAGCGAACAGAUGAGGAGCUUGCUCCUCUGACGUUAGCGGCGGACGGGUGAGUAACAUGUGGAUAACCUACCUAUAAGACUGGGAUAACUUCGGGAAACCGGAGCUAAUACCGGAUAAUAUAUUGAACCGCAUGGUUCAAUAGUGAAAGACGGUUUUGCUGUCACUUAUAGAUGGAUCCGCGCCGCAUUAGCUAGUUGGUAAGGUAACGGCUUACCAAGGCAACGAUGCGUAGCCGACCUGAGAGGGUGAUCGGCCACACUGGAGCUGAGACACGGUCCAGACUCCUACGGGAGGCAGCAGUAGGGAAUCUUCCGCAAUGGGCGAAAGCCUGACGGAGCAACGCCGCGUGAGUGAUGAAGGUCUUCGGAUCGUAAAACUCUGUUAUUAGGGAAGAACAAAUGUGUAAGUAACUAUGCACGUCUUGACGGUACCUAAUCAGAAAGCCACGGCUAACUACGUG
rnacentral:rRNA from 1 species